AUUGAACGCUGGCGGCAGGCCUAACACAUGCAAGUCGAGCGGUAGCACAGGAGAGCUUGCUCUCUGGGUGACGAGCGGCGGACGGGUGAGUAAUGUCUGGGAAACUGCCUGAUGGAGGGGGAUAACUACUGGAAACGGUAGCUAAUACCGCAUAACGUCUUCGGACCAAAGUGGGGGACCUUCGGGCCUCACGCCAUCAGAUGUGCCCAGAUGGGAUUAGCUAGUAGGUGGGGUAAUGGCUCACCUAGGCGACGAUCCCUAGCUGGUCUGAGAGGAUGACCAGCCACACUGGAACUGAGACACGGUCCAGACUCCUACGGGAGGCAGCAGUGGGGAAUAUUGCACAAUGGGCGCAAGCCUGAUGCAGCCAUGCCGCGUGUGUGAAGAAGGCCUUCGGGUUGUAAAGCACUUUCAGCGAGGAGGAAGGGUGGUGUGUUAAUAGCACAUCACAUUGACGUUACUCGCAGAAGAAGCACCGGCUAACUCCGUGCCAGCAGCCGCGGUAAUACGGAGGGUGCAAGCGUUAAUCGGAAUUACUGGGCGUAAAGCGCACGCAGGCGGUUUGUUAAGUCAGAUGUGAAAUCCCCGCGCUUAACGUGGGAACUGCAUUUGAAAACUGGCAAGCUAGAGUCUUGUAGAGGGGGGUAGAAUUC
rnacentral:rRNA from 1 species